rnacentral:lncRNA from 1 species
UUCUCAAUCACACCAUUGUCCUUUUCGUUUGGUGUGGCCAACACUACAAACGCUCCUGUGCUCGACAGUGAUGGCAACGAGCUCCGCACAGGCACCCCAUACUUCGUUGUGUCGUCGAUAUGGGGUGCUGGUGGUGGGGGGCUUGCCCUAGGCAUGCCUAGAGGAAAGCCAUGCCCGGAAGUCGUUGCUCAAAGAGGAUCCGGUGACGAUGGUAUUCCGGUGAUAUUUUCUAAUUCGGACUCCAACGAUGGCGUUGUUCGCCUAUCCUCUGACAUAAACAUAGAGUUCAUUCCCCUCAGACCCAGAUUUUGCCAAACAACAACGGUGUGGAAGGUCGAUGAUUACGACCACUCAGCCGGAAAAUGGUGGGUGAUAACCGAUGGGGUUAAAGGGAACCCAGGUGCCAACACUUUGACCAGUUGGUUUAGAAUAGAGAAGGCGGGUGAUCUUGAUUACCCAUUUAAGUACUGCCCCGCUGUAUGUGGAACAUGCCCAGCCUUAUGCAACAAAAUUACGAGAGACUCAGAUGGAGAAAUGAUACGUUUGGCUCUCUCCGCUGGCCAUGGAUGGCCAUUUUUCUUUAAGAAAUUUCAAACAUCAGCCAUGGAGAUUGAACAAGUUGUUCAUAAUUAGAUUGAAAGCAAUCAUUAUGCAUGAACUAGUAGUUACUAUACAAUAUUAGCUUCAAGUAAAUAAUGCUGGGAGAACUGAUUGUUAAGAUUGCCUUGUUUGAAGCAGCAGCAUGUAUAUAUAUAUGCUUGCUUACAAGGUUUGUCUCUCAGAGUCCUUCUCUUUGUACUCUUUUCAGCUUAAUAUAUAAACUGUCUACUUAUUUACUUCUUUUAUUGCCAUUGAUUCUAGUAGUAUUAGACUCAUUAACUUGGAUACAUUGUCUUGUAAGAGAUAGCUUAUCUCUUAACAACUGUUUGGGUCAACAAAAUUAAUGUAUAUAUGAAAACGAAUAUUGAAUUUGGAUGUCCAAUCAAUUUUUUUAAUUAAUUAAUUAAAAAGAAUUGUUUUAAUUCAAAAAAUCUAAAAGAAUUUGAUAAAAAAUGUGGAAGGGCACACUUGUAUGAUGAAUAGUAGUGAUAAUAAUGAUAGAAGUCGUUUUCCUAGCACAAGUAUGGGAUUCGUCCAUUUGGUUUUAUAUUUAUCCACUUGCCUGAGUGUUUAAGAGUUAAAAAGGACAAAACUAUUAAGUAGAAAACACCAAACGAAUUGGAAGGCUUUUGUCUUCUUCAAUUAGUAUGACCUAUAUUUCUUAUUAAACUUCGUAUUUUACAUUCAAUAUCAUCAUCGCAAUCAUUUUAAUUUAUUUUCAUGAAUAAACUUUUAUGUCCCAUUUUAAUUGAAUCAUUAAAAAUUAUUAAUUGAAUUUUUUUUAAGUCAAGUGAUACUAAUUUGAUUUUUUUAAAAAAGUUGUUUGAAUUAAUUUGAUUUCGUGUCAUAAUUGACAUAAAUGGCCAUUGUGAAUGGCAACAUCAAUAGUUAUUGAGUACAGCGGCUAAAAUUUUCAGUUAAAAAAAAAAGAAUGAAAGGAAAACAAAAAGAAAAACGUGGAAAGAAAGAAAGAAAGAAAGAAUAAUAAUAAUAAUAAUAAUAAUAAAUAAAAUAGAAUUGUGGGGGCGAUGCUUUUGAACAAAUCUUGAUUUAAACUAUAUAAAGAAAAUAUGUGUUAUAUAUAUAAUUAAUUAUGUACUUAUACUUAAUAUAUUAUAUAUCUAAUGUCAUAUUUUCAUAUUCUCAGGAAGUGGUGACAUACAAAUACUUGAUUCGAUUUAUUUCUUUAGCUCCCCGUGAAUUGUAUGUUUGUAACAUUAGGGAUAGAAUUUCUUCAAUUAUCCAAUUGACUGGACGUAUUGUGUCGAUUUUUUUUUAGUAAUAUACCUAGAAAUACCCGUUGAUUCUUUAUAAACGCUGUUUCGAACACAACUGGUACACUCUAAAAUAAUUUACUUGAACAUCAUUACUCUUAGCCAUGAACCUCCUUUGAGUUUUUAAUUCACCCAACUUUUUUAUUUUCCGAUCAAAAGCAAAGAAGAAAGGAAUGAAAAGAAAAGAAAGAAAUCAAAGUUGCUAACUCAAAACCAAAUCCUGAAAAUUUUCAUUUCAAUGAAUAUAGUAAGUAAAUAUAGAUUUAUAGUAAUAGCAAAUAAUAAGAAUUAAGUAAUAUAACGAUUUUUAAUUCUAUUUAGAAUCAAUUAAAAUAUUCAAAUAAAUAUUCAAUUAAAAUAAAUUAAACUGUAUAAAUUUUAUAAUUUUAAAUUAUUAUUUUUGUAUUAAUUUAAAAACAAAAUAAAUAUUAUAUACAAUGAUUUAGUUACAGCGUGUCAGCUUGAAGUCUAAGACUUUAUAACAUAUAAAUUUAAUAGAUAAUUAAUAACUAAAAAAUUAAAUAGCAAAAGCAUAAUUGCGCCACUUCUCACCAUUUUAAUGUAUGCAACUUAUUAUAUAUUUAUAUAUAUUAUCAUUUUAUUUUAAAUAAUUUAAUUUUAUAAAUUUAGGGAUAAAUCUCAAAAUUAUACAUGAACUUUAAUUUAAUAUGCAAUUGUAUAUAUAAACUUUAAUUUGGUACAAUUAUACACGUGAUACUUUAAUUGUGGUUUAAAUACUCACUUGAAACUUUAGUUUUGAUUUAAUAAUGCAUAUUUAAAUAAAUAAAUACAUCAAUUUUUUUAUAUUGGGUAAAUAUAAUUAUUUAUGUAUGCAAUAUAUAACAUAAAAUGAUGUUAUAUCAAUAAUUGUGUUAAUAAUUUUCAAGAAUUGGAUCAAAUCAAAAUUUCAUGUAUAAAAUUGAACAAAAUCAAAGUUAAUGUAUACAAUUGCACAUUAAACCAUAAUUCAUGUAUAUUUUUUUGUAUAUAUCCCAUAAAUUUAUUUCAUUAACUUUUUACCUAUAUCAUAUAUAGAGUUGUUCGUGAACCGAGCCAAGGAAUGCCUGCUCGAAAAAAUGAGAGGGUUUGGCAAAAAAAUAUAUGCCUAAAAAAUGGGCUUGGAUAAAAAGACAAGGCCCGUUUAGAAAAUGAACCGGCAUUGAGUAGGGUUUUUUUGUCCGGGCUCAGCCUAACCCGAAUUUUCAAUUAAAAAAAACCUUGUUGUUUUUGCUGCUAUUUUUCCAUAUCUUGGUGUUGUUUUCUCACUUUUUGCCGCUAUUUUACUACCAUUUCACUAUUAUGUUACUACUAUUUUUUUUAAUGUUUGGAUAUAGUAUAAUAAUUGUUUUAUUGUUAAUUUUAUCACUAUUUUAGAGACAUUUGUUUGUUAUGUUGUACUUAUUUUAGUUUUUAUUUAAGUAUAAAAAAAUUUAAAAUUUAUUUUCAAUUUAUUGAUAAACAUGUAAUUUAAUAUUUUCAGUGUAUUUAUUGUAUUAUAUUUGUUAAAUUUAUAUAAAAUUAAAAUUAAAAAAAUAUGGACCGAGAUGGGAGUUUAACAAAAAUUUAGGCCCAUUUUUCAAGUCGGGCCGAUCUCAAACCUAACAAUCGGACUUAAAAUUUUGUUAGAGCUCGGCCCAUCCCAUGAACAACUCUAAUUAUAUAUAUAUGUCAUUCUCUAAUAAUAAUAAUAAUAAUAAUAAUAAUAAGUGGAUAACAUAAAACUAGUAGUAAAGAGUAAGAAGACAAAGAAGAAUUAAGUGGAUAACAUAAAACGUGCGAAAACAUUUAUCUUCAAUUCUGACACAUAAAGCUAGUAUUUUUGGGUAAAGUAUAGAAAUGGUGAUUAAAUUAUUGUUGAUGUUCUAUUUUAAUUUUUAAUUUUUCUAUUUUAGUUAUUAAAUUAUUUGAAAUUAAAUUUUUUGGUUAUCAAAGGUUAACAGUAGUUUGAAAUUUAACAGAAAUAUUGAUGUGAACUUUUCUUAUUGAUUUAAUAAUAAAUUUAGCCUUCUAAUAUUUAUAUAUUCUAUUAAUUUGAUACUAAAUAUAAAAAUUUAACAAAUUUAACCUUCAAUAUUUACAAAUUUUGUUAUUUUAAUUCAAAUUCUAAAAAAAAUUUAAUAAAUUUAACCCUCAACAUUAAAAAAUUUGAUAAAUUUCAAUUUUUAAAAUUUUGUAAAUUCCUAAAAUAUAAAGCAUCAUUCUCCACCUCAUAGGAUUCCAUGUAAAUGGAUUUUCUUGAAUUCUUUACCAAGUUGUCUUGAGUUUAAUUUCUUCUUAUUUAGUUUGUGGAAUAAAUGGCAUAUAGUUAGAUGUCACUGCAGCUGACAAUGAAAGGUUUGACAAAGUUGAUAAAUUCAGAGCUUUUGAUGCUGAGCUUCAAAUCAGUCUUGCCUCCACUCACCCAAGAAAUCAACUUUACAAUUUUUAUUAAGUCUUAACUAGAUUAAUAUGAGUAUUGUUAUCAAUAUAGGAGAAAGUGAAUUUUAGUGCGUUGAAACACAUUAUCUUCUUAUUGAUGAAUUGAGGAGGGGCUAUGAAUAGUUUUAAAUAUUAUAUUAAAAAAGCAGAGAUAAUUGAAACCUACAAUAAUAUUGUUCAAAAAAAUUACCUAAAAACACGAAAUCUUACUCCCUGAAUUUUCUAGAAACACAAAUAUUUCUCCCUGCCUUUGAUGGUGUAUACAUGCAUGGCCAUGUGUGAGCUCCUGCAUUUUAACUAAUCAACACAGAUAAUACCCUCAAUGAGACAUUAAAAUUAACUUUUAUUUUUGUUUUUUCAUAAAUUUUAUAAUUUUGUAUUUCAAUGAAAAAAUCUAAAUCUAAGUUGAUCCGAGUCCAAAAAAAAAUCUGAAGCUGUAAAAAGUUUGAUCUGAGGCUGCUCAUUUGCCACCUCUAAUAACCAUUUGAUAGAGGUUUAAUAUAAAGGAAUUUAGAUUUUAGGAAUUUAUAAAAUUUUUAAAAUUAAUUUUUUAUUUGUAAAUACUAAGGGAUAAAUCUAUUGAAGUUUUUAAAAUUUGAACUGAAAUGUCAAAAUUUGUAAACAUUGAAGGCUAAAUUUGUUUAUUUUUUCUAUUUAAGACCAAUCUGAUAGAAUGUGUACACAUUAGAAGACUAAAUUUAUUAUUAGACCAAUAAAAAAAUGCCCAACUUAACGCUUUCUCAAAUUUCAAACCGAUGUUAAUAUUCAAUGACCAAAAUUUUUUAUUUCAAAUAGUUUAGUGACCAGAAUAGAAAAAAAAUUAAAAGUUUGAUGACCAAAAUAGAACGCGGAUAAUAAUUUAAUGAUAUUUUUAUACUUUAUCUGUUUUUUAUGAUUAUUUAUACAUAUCAAGUGGAGCUAAUUUAGGGAAAAGAAUCAAUGGUUAAGGUUGUUGUUGAUACUUAAUGAUCAGGGUCCAAAUUUUGCUAAUGUAAUUUUCCUUAUCAUAAUUUGUAUCUUAAUUUUGUUACCAAAAAAAUAUUAGUAAUAAAUAAUAUAUGCUCGAGAAAUGUACGUAUGAUUGAUUUAAACAAUACAUGUUGGAGUAAUUUACAUAUGGAUUUAAAAUAAAUUUUAAAAAUAAAAUAAAAUUUUAAAAAUCCAAAAGUAUUUUUUCUUUUAAAAAAAUUUAAAAAUAAUUUUUAAAUUAUUUACAUGAUUGAUUUAAAGGAUUUCUUUCUAUUAAUUAUUUUUAUAUUAAAUUUAUUUUCCUUUAUGUAUAACAUUUAAAGGGUUUGUAUAUAUGCUAACUCGCGAGUCAAUUAAAAUUUGUAUUAUAUUCAUUGAAUUUUUUUAAAAUAUAUAUUUUAUUAAUUUAUUUAUUUAUUUGAGACCCAUGAUAAACUUGUAUUUAAAGUUAUUGGUGCACACUAUAAAUUCAUAUAUUGAAAAUGAUAGGUGCUAAAAGUAACAUGUUUUAGUCUCAUUCUUAAUGUGUUUUUGGAUGAUUAUUCGAUAUAAAAUGGUUAAUUUUAUGCUACUAAACUUUUCAAUUUACGUUCUACACUUAAUAGAGCAUUUAGGAGCAAAAGAAGCGAAAAACGAGCGAAAAUAAAAAAAAUAGGAGCAAGUCUCAAAAGCCACACAGGCUGAGCCAUUCCACACGGGUUGGACACAUAACCGAGUGAGCCACACGACCAUGUGCUAGACUGUGUGGAAAUCGCAAAUUACACUCCAAACGGCGUGAAAACACGUUAAUUUUAAGGUUUUUUAAGCAUUUUAAUACCUAUACAUGACAAAGAUAAGAAGAGGGGAGAGAGUCGUCAGAAAAUAUUAAAGAAAACAACUUAAAAAACACCAUUGAAGCUAACUUUGAAGCAAAUUUUCAUCAAGAUUGAAGAUCUCAUUUUGAUUUUUUUGAAGUUUAUUAUGAGUUUCUUUAUUUAUUGUAGUUAUACUGUCUUUAGGAUGUUUUUAUUUGCUAUCAUGAACGAAUUUUCUAAAUACCUAGGGAGAUGAAUCCUAUCAUGAAUUAUGUUAUUUGAUUUCUAUUUUUACGUAAUAAAGACUUAGAUCUUAUUCUCAAUUAUGUGUGCUUAAUUCUUGGUUUAAUAUUUCUAGACUAUUAAUCAAUGUUUGAUGUGCUUAAAUCAGAGGAGGAAUAAACCCUAUUUAAGAGUAGAUCUAGCGUAAAUGAGUGGAGUUGCAUGCAAUCCUAGAAAUAGGACAACAUAAAUCUACCGUAAUAGAUCCAAAUCUAAUAGGGGAAUCUAUAGAUCGAGUUAAUACGAUGAUAGAGGUUUUAAUUAGAAAUAAAUUUCAGUUAAUUAACCUAGAGUCAGUUACUCUUAGUCUUGAAGAGAUAUAUUAGCAUAAUUUAGGGAUUUUUACAGAUCAAUAUUCUAAGUGACGAAGUUGUGUAAUAUAGAUUGAUAAUGACAUAUGAAGUCUAGGUAGAUUCUUUCCUAGGUAUUGUCUCGCUCUUGGUUAUUAUUUGAUUAUUUUCUUGAUUUGUGCUUUGUUGUGUUAUUUAGUUAACUAAUUUAGUUAAUUUUAGUUCCAACCAAUCACUCCAAUUUAUCAGUUAAAUAAUAGAAAAGACGGUAAUUACUGGUACUUUUAGUCUUUGUGAAAACGAUAUCUUUGCUCACUAUAACUAUACUAUUAAUUGAUGUGCACUUGUCUGAGUUAGAUUUUUAGUUGGUUUACGACUGCAAUCAAAAAACUCAUUAAGUUAGCACAAACUAAGUUAAUUAUUCGUUGGUUGCUUUAUUUUUUUUCCUGAAGUUUCGAUUUCAUCUUUCAUUAUGUACAACAAUUUUGGUAUAAAAAUAUCAAAUUCUCGACACUUAAUAUAUACCUUUGAAAUAUAAACACAUGCAUCAAUUUUUUUAGGUUCCUCACAACUUACUUGUCCAAAAUUCUUGUAUCUUUCAGUUCUCCUGAUUGAAUCAAAAUUUGACUUUGUAAUUAUUUUUUAAGGACCUCAAACUAUCAAUUUAUAGUAUAAAUUUUCAAUAGCUUUCAUUCUUUACAAAUUGGUCCCUAAUUAAUCAACAAUGGUAUUAAAGCUUAAGCUUAGGGUCCCGUUGUUUCACUGAAAAUGGCUUUCGAAAAAUAAUUUCUAGAAAAUGACUUACUUUCCUAGAAAAGUUAAUAUUUUCUGAUGUUUGGAUGAAUCAGUGUAAAAUAUUUUAUAUUGUUUGACAAAUUUCUUAAAAAUAUUUCAUAAAAGCUGUUUUCAAUGAAACAAACAUGCAUUUGAGAUUUUCUUAUCUUUUCAUUGUUUAAUUAAGUUUAUCUUAUAUCUAUAAAUUUAUAUUUUACAUUUUUUUGCAUAUAAUAAAAAUAUAUAUUUUUUAAUUCAGGUUCACUACCAUGUCACUUUUUAGUUACAUGACUACCAAGUGAGUAUUUUUUUUAUUUAAAAAUGUGACAUCAACAAAAUUGACAAAAAAAAAAUUUAGCAAUGUCAACAAUUGGACUUGAUUUUCAAAUCUGAAAAGUAGAGGGACUAAAUUCUUGAAAAUAAAAGUAUAGAGACUAAAUUGAAAAUUUGUGAAGAAUACAUAGACUUAUCACAUUUUUUAACUUUUAUACUACAAAAUAUUUAUCAUUAAUAUAUUUAUAAUUAUAAUAAAUAUUUAUUAUUAAAAUAUUAAUAUUAAAUAUUUUCAAUAAGAAGAAUAUUAUUUAAAAUUAUUUUUUUUAAUUUUUUAUUAAAAUAAAAUUGAAAUAUUAAAUAAUUUAUUAAAAUAAUUAAUUUUAUUAAUAAUUAAUUUUAUGACUAAAUAUAAAUAAUUAAAUAUGUGUGUUUAAUAAUAUUGAAAUAUAUAAUAUUUUAUAUUAAUAUUUUAAAUAUUUUUAAAAAUAAAAAUAAAAUUUAUUUUCAAUAUAAUAAUAUUAAUAUUGAUUUAAAUGAAUUUUUAUAUAAAAAUAAAAUUACCUAUAGAUGAGCUCUUUUCCAGAAAAUGACUUACACUUUUCAAAAGGAUAAGUCAUUUUAUAGGAAAAAGAGUUCAAUUUUACAUUGACCUGUAAGUCAUUUUCCGAUGACCAAAAUGUUUUCUGUAAAAUAAACAUAAGAAAAUGAAGAAAAUAUUUUCCGUAAAACCUUUUACAUGUAAACAAACGGACCCUUAAUUCAAGCUUGUUCUAACAUAACCCACUUCACUAUUAGCAUGACUCUUCCUUAUACUAUGUUUAACCAUUAACCCUUCUCAUGAUUUCUAACAAAAAUUCUCUAAGUUCUCUUUAAUGGAAACUUCUAUUAGCUUCAACAAUAAGAAAUUCUAACCAUUGGGUUGGUUGUAUCAAGUUUCAUAGUUUAAAAAACUAUAAAAAAAUUAUUUAGAAAACAAUUUGUUUACCUUUGAUGGCCUUGAUGGAGAACAACUUGGUUUCUUCUUCUACUUAGUUUAAAGAAUGCAUGAAGAAGAAGAAGAUUUCCCCUCUCCCUCUAUCUUAAAUAUAUAUAUAAAUAACCUAUUAAUCAAGGUAAUUAACUCACUAAUUAAUCUUAAUUAGUUAUGAUCUAAUGGCCAUAAACUUACCAUAAGAAAAUUAGUGGAAAUGUGUGGCAUUGAUAAUGGUUUGCCAAUAAUCAAACUUCGGGCAUGGUAAUAUUGCAAUCAGGUCCUUGGUUUAAUUACACUUUAAGUACUUGCUAAAUUCUCUAAUCAAUUCCCACUAGUUGGAUCACUUGAACAAUUGGGUCCAUGUAUUAUAGUUACAACUUAUCUAAUUUAAUCAAUUAAUGAUUUGACUUUAUAAUUUCAUGUGCAACACACAAACUCCUCCGGUAAAUUCUCAAGCUAGCUUUAUUUAAAAAUUUGGCCUCAAAACCAGCUUUCCAAAUGUUCAUGAAAAUUGAGUUGUUACAUUAUGGUAUUUGUUUUGUUCAGCUUAUUUGUCAAGCUCUAUUCCUUUGAACUUAUGUUCGUUGACUUUGGUGUUGCUUAAAUGAAAAUGUGGUGAACAAUAUUAUGGAUAGGAGGAGUGUAUGAUUGAGUAUGUGUAACACCCCUAACCCACAUCCUUCGCCAAAUUAAAGUGACAGAGUGUUAUUAUUCAAAACAGAACAUUCCAUGACAACACAUAAACAAUUAUGCAAAUUAUCACAAUCAUUAAUUAACCAUAUUAAAAUAUAACAUAAGUAUCCAUACGACCUUUAAAUCGAGCUUAUAUGGCCUUAAAAAUAGCUUGGGAUCAAUCUAGGAUCAAUUUGGAACAUAACAUAAAUUUUAAGAAAAAUCUAAAAAUUUUGGGAAACAUGGGUCACACAACCGUAUGUCCAGGCCGUGUGACAUAGCCCAGACCUUGUGGGAAUUCAAAAUCAGGACACUCAAUCAUGUCCUAGCCCGUAUGUCUACCUGUGUGAAUAUUUGAAAUAGGGUCCCACAGUCGUGUCGCGGCCAUGUGCUAAACCGUGUAUAUAUUCAAAUUAUGAACACAUGGCCGUGUCGCAAGCCAUGUGCUAGACCGUGCUCAAAACUAUUUUGAGACACACAGCUGUGCCUUAGGCUGUGUGAAAUUUUCACUUUAGACAACGACACACAGCCGUGUGCCAGACCAUGUACACCAAAAUGUACCUUAAAAAUCAAAUUUACCAAAACAUGUUUACUUAGGCAUCAAGCAACCUAAUUACCAUCAAUCAAACUCAUUCAAAACACAAUUAAACAGGUUCAAAACAUCCAUCCUAAGUGCCUAGCCAUUGUGCCCUCAUUGACAUCAUAAUUCAAUAAUCAAAUCAAUCACAUUUAAACCAAGAUUUAAACAUUCAAAUUAUAAAAUCAUCAUUAACCAUUCAUACCAAAACACUGAUCAUUUCAAGUCAUAAACACCUAGCAAUAUUCACAUACUUUAUAAAGCUUAACUACCAAUACCAAAUAAGAUCCAUACACACAUACAUACCAAACAAAACACAUAUUCACAAGUAUCAUUCAAGAUUUACAACUUUACAUGUAAUUAACAUAAUUUCAAGUCAAUUAUUACAUGUCAUACAACCCAAAACAAACACUAAACAAACUACCAAUAGUUUCUCGAAUAGUGUGAUUCUUGAAAUCAAAUUGAUCACCCGAAGCGUCAAAAAUAAAUCUACAAGAAAGCAUUGGAAGAGACACAAGAGUAAGCUUACUUAAGCUUAGUAAUUUCCAUGGAUUUAAACAAUCAACUUACCGGAUAAACUUAUCUAAUAUAGAGUAUAGAAAAGUCAUAAAUCAUAAUCAUGUCAUCCAUAAUCAGAUCACGAGUGAGUCUUAAACUUAAAUAUGAAUGAAUUAAUUCAAUCAAUUACAUUAUAUCACUAAAUUAUACCCGAUGAACGUUGCAAUGGAUUUGGAUACACAGUUAACCAACCAAACACUCCAAAUCACUCAAAUGAGCUAGCCAUCUGAAAGUACACAUGGGCACCAAGUGCCAAGCCCAUAGGCUAACAUCCCUCCGAAACACACCUUGUCACCAAGUGCCAAGCCCGUAAGCUUUACAUCUGCCCCAGAAACACACCUGAAGCACUGCAAUAUAACGUAAUAGUUCGCAACAAAUGUUGAACUUCAAUAUAUUCAAUAAACAUGAAUAAGAUCAGAAUCAUCAUCUCCACAUCCACCAAUCUCGUAAAGCGCACGAUAUAACUUAUUGACAUGCCAAUUGUAUCCUAUCAUACAUUCAUCGGCUCACAUAUUUGUCAUUUAACAACAUUUAAUACAAUUUCUUUCCCAAAUCAUUUCACUUACCACAAUUCAAUACUUCCAUGUCAUUUAAUAAUUUCAAUCCACAAGUAAUUAAAUAUUUAAAUUAUACUAAAAUUAAACUGUACAAACUCACUAGGGCCAAAUUGCAGAAACAACAAAAGUUCAGGGACUAAUCAACAACCUUCCCUUUUUCCACAAUUAUCAACUUGAUCUUGAUCUAUAAUAUAAUUUAUUUCAAUUAUUAGCCUCAAUUUUCAUAUUCUAAUCAUUUCAAAACAUAUGAUCUCUUAUUUAUAAAUUUACACAUUUAUCCCAAAUUUUUACAUAUUAUACAAUUUAAUCCCUAUGACCAAAUCAAGCUUAGUUCUACAAUUAAAUUCUCAAUCCAUAGAACUAAAUUUUAACCACAUCCAAAACAAUCCAUAUAUGCUAAAAUUUUCAAGAGUAACAUGUCUAUUUCAGUUAAAUCACUAAACAUCAAAUUUUGUAAAAAUCACUUACAAACUCAAUACAUAUGGUCACCAAGCUUCAACCCAAACUAUUUACUACUACAAAUCUUCGAAAAUUUCAAUACAUAAUUUCUAUACUUUGAUAACUUCACAAAUAAACUCCAAAACUAGCUAAAUUCCAUUAUCAAUAGCUCAAAACUUAAAAUUUGAUGAUGAAUAAACCAAGAAAAUACUUACAUGCAUUAAAAACUAACAAAAACCAAGAUCCAAGCCUUAGAACAAUGGUGUUUCGGCCAAACCUAAGAAAAAUAAAGAAGAUGACCACUACCCCACUUUUGUUUUACUUUCCUUUUAUUAUUAUAAUAAUCUUUAUUUAUGAAAUUAUAACAUUAUAAAACACCAAUUUAAUUUUUUUUCUCUCUUUACCGCCCAUAUUAACUAACUAUGGGCUAAUGGCAACAUAACCUCCCUUAGUUUACUAAUUUAAGCUAUUAUAUUAAAAUAAAUCUAUAAUAAGCAACUUUUCCACCUAUUACAUAUUAAUCUUUUUUCUUUAAUCAAUUCACUAUACGUUAAAUUUUCUAAACCAAAACUUAAUACGACACUGAUGACUUUGUAAAUAUUAAAUAAUUAAUAAUUCUAGACUGACACGUCGAAAGUGUAGUCCUAAAACUAUUAUUUUCGACACCACUGGAAAUCGAACUGUUAUAGUAUGAUUCUACCUCUUAGGGGGAGACGUAUUCUAGUUUCCUUUGACUUGUUUAGAUGAUGUGUUAAUCAUUUGCUACUGGUUUUGUCAAAAUGCCAAAUGGUGAGAUUGUUUCAAACUUUGUUCAUGUUCGAACAUUAGAUUAAACAAUGCUUAAUUUGAUGCAUUCAAAGAAUUUAUGUUGGCAUGUUUGACUUUAUAAUGAAAUGGCUUAUGAUUUAAUCUCGUUGAGUAGCAAAUGGGGAAGUGAUUUUGUGUUAUAACAUGUGAUGAUCAUUAUCUUUCAAUCAACUACCUUGAAGAAGAAUGGGAGGAGUUUGAACUUUUGUGGACUUUCGUAAUAUUUGAAGCUGCUAAGAUACUUGUUUAUAAAGACUUUUAUGAUAUAACUAAUCAAAAUAAUUCAUGUCAGAAUUUUUGGAGUUUUAAACUUAUGAAGACUCUAGUAUUGGCCUAUAAAUAGGCAUAAUUACCGCACAUUGAAAAUAGGCUUUUGGAGGGUUUAAGUUGGAUGCUUUGGUGAAUUUUUCCUGUGUUUUAUACAACACUCUUUUUUAAGUUUUUAUUGGGGGAUAUUUGCUUGAUUGUAAGUGAGAUAUUUUGGAGAGAGUGAUUUGUAAUAAUUUAGGUUCAAUAUUGAAGUUGCAAAUAACUACAAGGUAAUGGUAAUUUGGACUCUAGUCAAUAGUUAAUCAAGACGAAUUGUAAAUAAAAAUUAUUUUUUAAGUGAAACUUUACAGAAUAAAACUAGUGAACUCAAACUACGCUAACAAAUAUUAUAUACUAUCUUUCCUUACUUUACUCGUUGCUUUACCUUAUUUUAAAAUUGCUUUGUCAUAAAUGUAUUAUGUUUGACCCUUUCCGAUCGAAAUAAAAAAAUGAGAUUGAAAUUGUGAUAAAGCUAAAAAAAAGUUACAACAAAUAUGAUUAAUAUUAUUUUUAUAUAUACUUACUAAAAUUUAAAAAGGAAUUACAUUUAUCGAAUAUUAUUUUAUUUAAUAAAUAUAAUUAAUAUAUUUUAUAUAAAAUUUAAACUUUUUAUUAUUUGUUAGCUAAAUUUUAUUAUUUUUAUUUUCUUUAUGAAUAAAAUUAAUUUUCCUAAAAUUUGAGAUAAAAAAAUGUUAUAUAGAAAAUUAAAUUAGUAAAAAGUGCAGUUCAUACUUUAUAAUUAUUAUAAAUGAAAAAAUAUUAUAAAAGAUAAAUAUUAAACAUAAAAAAAUCAAUUCUAAAAUAAACUUAACUAUUAUAAUAAAAUAUUUUUAUAUAAAAAAGAAAUUAUAGAAAAGACUUACUGAUUAUAUUUCCAAUUUUCGACAUUCAUAAAAAAAAAGUGGUCCUAAUAAUUUAUUUAUACAAAAAAAAAAGUGGUCCUAUUAAUUAACCUCACAUUUGAAAUGUGUUAUAUGUAAUAAUAUUAAUAUCUUUAUCAAUUUUGGAGGUUCAUCCUUUCCCAUCUCUAUAAAUUCGCAUGGAGAAAUAAAGCAAUACAUCAACACAAUCUGUAUAACCAUGAAAACCACAACAGCUUCAGUGUUUCUUCUUUUCAUCAUCUUCUCAGUCACACCAUCAUCCUUUUUGUUUGGUGUAGCCAACGCUACAAACGAACCUGUACUCGACUUUGAUGGCAACGAGGUUCAAACAGGCACCCCAUAUUACGUUGUGUCGUACAUAUGGGGUGCUGGUGGUGGGGGGCUUGACCUAGGCAGGCCUAGUGGAAACCCAUGCCCGGAAGUCGUUGCUCAAAGAGGAUCCGGUGACAAUGGUAUUCCGGUGAUAUUUUCUAAUUCGGACUCCAACGAUGGCGUUGUUCGCCUAUCCUCUGACAUAAACAUAGAGUUCAUUUCCCUCAGACCCAAACUUUGCCGAACAACAACAGUGUGGAAGGUCGAUGAUUACGACCAUUCAGCCGGAAAAUGGUGGGUGAUAACCGAUGGGGUUAAAGGGAACCCAGGUGCCAACACUUUGACCAGUUGGUUUAGAAUAGAGAAGGUGGGUACUGAUUUUCAAUAUUACACAUUUAAGUACUGCCCCGCAGUAUGUGGAACAU